rnacentral:lncRNA from 1 species
AAAUAUCGUAAUAAUAAUUAUAUUAGCUAUUUAUCAAUUGUGAGCCUUAGUUGAUUAGUGAUCAAAUUAAGUAAUAAGGCUAUUAGAUUUCUAAUUGGAUAAUUAAUUAAAUAUUUAAUUAAUUGAUAUGGACUCAAUGAGUGGAUGUCCGGAUGACCCAUUAACAGAAUAAUGGGAAACCCUAAUGGUCAUCCAAUAUAAAAGAGGCUAUGGUCCCCAAUACACCGUACACGACAAUACUCUCUCUUCUCCCCAUCUGAAGAGAACU